rnacentral:misc_RNA from 1 species
UCCGAGUUGACCCCGGCAGUCUCUCACGAGUCCCCACCAUUACGUGCUGGCAACAUGAGACAAGGGUUGCGCUCGUUGCGGGACUUAACCCAACAUCUCACGACACGAGCUGACGACAGCCAUGCAGCACCUGUGCACGGACUCCGAAGAGGAACCGAUGUUUUCACCGGCUUUCCCGUGCAUGUCAAGCCCAGGUAAGGUUCUUCGCGUUGCAUCGAAUUAAGCCACAUACUCCACCGCUUGUGCAGGCCCCCGUCAAUUUCUUUGAGUUUUAAUCUUGCGACCGUACUUCCCAGGCGGCACGUUUAUCGCGUUGGCUACGCCACAAAAGGGGUCGAUUCCUUUUACAGCAAACGUGCACCGUUUGCGGCUAGGACUAC